UUCUUAUUAUGAGAGGCGGAGGGACUGGCCCUGCGAUGCCUCGGCAGCGGACUUUUUUAAAGAGUGCUGUGCCAAAUCCAGCAAGCUCCAGAGCUUGGAAGAUAAGAA
rnacentral:ncRNA from 2 species